rnacentral:rRNA from 1 species
AGUACCGUCAUUGUUUCUUCCUUAAGAAAAGGAGUUUACGGACCACGAUCCUUCUUCCUCCACGCGGUAUUGCUCCAUCAGGCUUUCGCCCAUUGUGGAAAAUUCCCCACUGCUGCCUCC